GACGAACGCUGGAGGCGUGCUUAACACAUGCAAGUCGAACGAUGAAAUGGAGCUUGCUCCAUGGAUUAGUGGCGAACGGGUGAGUAACACGUGAAUAACCUGCCCUUAAUUUUGGAAUAACCCAGGGAAACCUGGGCUAAUACCGGAUAAGUAAACCUGUGGCAUCACAUGGUUUUGGAAAGUUUUUCGAUUAAGGAUGGAUUCGCGGCCUAUCAGCUUGUUGGUGAGGUAAUGGCUCACCAAGGCGACG
rnacentral:rRNA from 1 species